rnacentral:tRNA from 1 species
GGGCCCGUAGCUCAGCGGUUAGAGCGGCCGGCUCAUAAUCGGUUGGUCCCAGGUUCGAAUCCUGGCGGGCCCACCA